rnacentral:rRNA from 1 species
GACGAACGCUGGCGGCGUGCUUAACACAUGCAAGUCGAACGGAAAGGCCCUGCUUUUGUGGGGUGCUCGAGUGGCGAACGGGUGAGUAACACGUGAGUAACCUGCCCUUGACUUUGGGAUAACUUCAGGAAACUGGGGCUAAUACCGGAUAGGAGCUCCUGCUGCAUGGUGGGGGUUGGAAAGUUUCGGCGGUUGGGGAUGGACUCGCGGCUUAUCAGCUUGUUGGUGAGGUAGUGGCUUACCAAGGCUUUGACGGGUAGCCGGCCUGAGAGGGUGACCGGCCACAAGGGGACUGAGAGACGGCCCAGACUCCUACGGGAGGCAGCAGUGGGGAAUAUUGCACAAUGGGCGGAAGCCUGAUGCAGCAACGCCGCGUGCGUGAUGACGGCCUUCGGGUUGUAAACCGCUUUCGCCUGUGACGAAGCGUGAGUGACGGUAAUGGGUAAAGAAGCACCGGCUAACUACGUG